rnacentral:lncRNA from 1 species
GGUGCCUGUCCUAAUUUCCUGAUCCAGGGAACCUGCCGCCGCAGCGGCUGUGCGCUCCCUACAGUCAUUACUGUACCCUCCCGGCAGCCUCCGGCAGAACACGCAGCAGCAGCAGCAGUUAGCGCUGAUGCAACUAUCGUUGCUGUUGCCACCGCCUCCCCACUGACGGGGCGUGCACCUGGGGGGUACUUGCAGUUUCCAGGGGCAACAAGCAUCUCUCUACCACCCUCUCCUGCGCCCCUGAGAGAGGCUGGCUCCAAGCUUGAUAUAGAAGACUAUCAUAUGAACCAGAAAGGGUAACUGAAACCAAAGAAAUGACUCCAGUAUCAAGCUAAAGACAUGCCUUAAAGGAUGAGGAGGAGCAGAAAUCUUACCAGCAAGGCAAGAAAGAAGCCGUACGUGAACAGCCUCUGCUUUAGGCCCAGAAGGAAAAGAAGCUUACAGGAGACAAUCAGUCUUACACUCUUCCAUGGUCACAAACAAGAGGUCCCUGGAUCUACAGAAAUGAAAGAACCAGAGCAUUAUAGCAGAACGAAUCCUGGAAUGGGAAUGGAAUGCCUGGAUUUGUGGCACAGUUGGGAAGCGUCCUGGCCAUGCCAUGUUAAAGCUGUCUCCAAGGCAGUGAUUCUUACCCUUGGCUACACAUUGGAGUCAUUUGGGAAGCUAGAAAAAAAAAAUGCCCAGGACCUGGGCAAGACGGCUGAAUAAGAACAGCUCUGGUCUGCAGUUCCUAGCAAGAUCAACGCAGAAGGGAAGCUGGCAGCCUGGGCUCUUGGAGAUUGUAUCUGGUGCCGGAGAGGACUGGCUCCCACACUCAGUGAGGGAGGAAUUUUACUGACCCAGCAUCCAGAUGAACUUUGGUGAGGAGAGGAGGUGAGGAAGUCAAUGAGCCUUGCUUUUUCACUUGCAAUUACGGCAUUUCCUUUGGAAAUGGACAUAAGAGCCUGGUGGUUGAUGAUGGAAGAGAUGAAACUGUGAAGAGACCGAAGAAGCUAAUCUAUCAAUAGUUAAGAUUCCAUUUCUAAAAGAUCUUACUUUGAGUCUACCUAUGCCUGGGAUGUCAAGAGGUAU